GAGAGAAGGGACUGUGGCUUUCUGGCUGUCUCCGUAACUGCAAAGUCCCCAGAGCCUUCCUCUGUCCCAGGGUCACACCAGCUUUGAAGCUCCACCCAAUACGAGUCUCCCCAGCCACAAUGUGGGACUCAGAAUGGAACUGGGAGACAAUAGUGAGCCCCUAAAAGAUGCAUCCACCCAGAACCUAUAAAUGUGACUGAAUUUGGAAAAAAGAUCUGUGCAGAUGUCAUUAAGGACCUUCUGGUGAGGUCAUCCUGAAUUGGAGCGGGCCCGGAUCCAAUGACAGUGUUCUUAGAAGAGAGGGGGAGAAGAUACACACAGGGAGGAGUCAUGUGAAGAUGGAGGCAGAGGCCACCUGGAGCCACCAGGAGCUGGAAUAAGCAACGGGUUCUCCCUGGGAGGCCUCAGAGGAGGCGUGGUGCAGCUGCCACUGUGACUUUGGACUUCUGGCCCCAGCACUGUGAGAGGAUAGGUUUUAAGCCAGGCGGUUUGUGGUGCUUGGUUAUGGCAGCCCCAGGCACUCACGCACCUCUCCAGAGGUGCUGCUGCCCAGGGAGUGUUCUGCAUGCUGCACCUGGCUUCCUGCUUUAAGCAGUAAUUUGUGCAUUGCUGCACAUAAAGCCACCUCCCGCUUUUUAACAGCUGCCUGACACGAAUCCCACUGUCUGGGUGUAGCAUGAUUUAUUUCUCCAGACUCUUAUCUGGGCAUGUUGGAGCAGUUUCCAGCUUUUGACAACUUGCAGGUAAAGCUGUGUCAGUAGACUUGUGCAUAUGUUAUUUAGCACUUGUGUGCACCUAUCUGCAGAGCUGCUGGGUGUGUGCACUCUACGUUUCUAUACCUAUUUCAAAGAAGGCAUCACAAGUUGCUCACACCAGUAAUCGGUUAGGAGCCUCUCUCCUACUCCUCACUGACAGAGGGUUCUCAUGCUUUUGUCUUUGGCUGUCGGAUAGAUUAAAAACAGUCUUACAUUCUGAUUUUAACUUGCAUUCUUUCUUUUUUCCCAUUAGUGUGUGUAUCUUUCCAUAUGUUUAACAGCCUUCACAUUUCUGUUUUGUGAACUGUUUUUGUACUUCGCCCAUUUUCUAUCACUUUGUUGGUCUUCAUUGCAUUGAUUUCUAGAACUUCUUUAUGUAUGAACCAAAUGAAGCUUUUCCUGUGCCUUGCAUUGCAGAUACUAUUUCAUUUCUCACCUGUCUUUGUUUAUG
rnacentral:lncRNA from 10 species